rnacentral:rRNA from 1 species
AUAUUGCACAAUGGGGGAAACCCUGAUGCAGCGACGCCGCGUGAGCGAAGAAGUAUUUCGGUAUGUAAAGCUCUAUCAGCAGGGAAGAAACUGACGGUACCUGACUAAGAAGCACCGGCUAAAUACGUUCCAGCAGCCGCGGUAAUACGUAUGGUGCAAGCGUUAUCCGGAUUUACUGGGUGUAAAGGGAGCGUAGACGGCGAAGCAAGUCUGAAGUGAAAACCCAGGGCUCAACCCUGGGACUGCUUUGGAAACUGUUUUGCUAGAGUGCUGGAGAGGUAAGUGGAAUUCCUAGUGUAGCGGUGAAAUGCGUAGAUAUUAGGAGGAACACCAGUGGCGAAGGCGGCUUACUGGACAGUAACUGACGUUGAGGCUCGAAAGCGUGGGGAGCAAACAG